rnacentral:rRNA from 1 species
GACGAACGCUGGCGGCGUGCUUAACACAUGCAAGUCGAACGGAGUGGCGAACGGGUGAGUAACACGUGGGUGAUCUGCCUUGCACUUCGGGAUAAGCUUGGGAAACUGGGUCUAAUACCGGAUAGUGCAAGAUGAGCUCGCGGCCUAUGCGCUUGUGUGUGGGGUAAUGGCCUACCAAGGAGUCGACUGGUAGCCGGCCUGAGAGGGGGUACGGCCACAUUGGGACUUGGAUACGGCCCAGACGCCUACGGGAGGCAGUCGUGGGGAAUAUUGCACAAUGGGCGUAAGCCUGAUGCAGCGACGCCGCGUGGGGGAUGAAGGCCUUCGGGUUGUAAACUCCUUUCGACAUGGACGCUGUACCUGUAUAAGAAGCACCGGCUAACUACGUGCCAGCAGCCGCGGUAAUUC